CUGCACAGUAGCUCUGCAUAACCAGAAUACCUGUGCACUGAUAUCUUCCAGCCCUGCACAUCUGAAAGAGAAAGUCAAGACCUGCAAGGUCAAAAAAGACAGCAAAUAGGCUAUUAAGAAUGUUUAGAGAUUUGUGAUAAGGCUCUUCAAACCAGACCACUAAGAUAAGUUUCAGCACCAAGGCUCUUGAUAGCACAUUGUGGGCUCUCUCUAGACGUAGCCAGUUCUCCCUAGCAGAGGAACCUGAGAUCCCAUCCUGGUCCUGGCUUGGCAAAAGGCCCUUAGUGCUCUCUGCACUCUGGCCUGACCUCUGCUCCUCUGCUGUUCUCAGUCCUGUUAUCUUCUCUCUUCCAAAAUGACUCAUCUGAAGCAAUCGUCAAGUUGGCACAUGUGAAAAAACUCAGCACCAACAUUGCCAGCAAACUUUUACGUGCAGACGGUAGAGAAGUUGCAAAGCCAGCUGGCAGAAUGGCAUGUGGAGAUGGAUGUUUUUUCCACAUGCAGAACCUGGCUCCAAACUAUGGUUCAGAGACCCAAACUCCAGGAUAGUCCCCUUCCUAAGGCUAAAGAAAAGGAUGUAGGAAGAUCAUGCUGUAUUCUCUGUGUCUGUAACUUUUUAGCCAAAGCACUGAAAUAGUCUUUACAGGUGUAAUUGAUUGUAAUUCAACUUGAACACACUGAAUGAAGUGCACUAGGUGAUUUGGAUACCUGUCUUCUCACUCGCAGUUUGCUUUUACAGAGCUGCCAGCACAGCUCUGGAGGUAAGCUGCGUGUCCUUUACGUCAAAGUGCUGCAGUGGAGCUGGGGGUAGGACCAAUAGAACCUUCGUUCUAUUCCUUGAAAAACCUCACAAACGUCAAGAAUUGUUAUUUUUUCUUUGAAACAAAGACCUUCAGACAGCCUUCAUGAUGAAAUAAGUCCGUUAAAGCACUAGCCAAUAGCCUGGUAUGUUGGGAAUUUUCUUGGGAAAUAGUGACUCAGAUCAAUUUCCUAUUAAAAGAAAUUUUCUGCCUGUGAAAAUGAAGGAUGUGGAUCUGCUUGUGGAAAGGCCUCUAACUGACAUGACAUUUCAAAGAGCAGGAGCUUCAGCUGAGCUGGUGCCAAACCAAGCUUGAGAGCAAUGCUAGUACUAUCAUACUUGUGGGAAGAUGACCUGCAGGGACAUGGGGCUGGAGAGCUAUUUCAGCAGGUCUGAUGAGAAAUUAGGUGCUUCAGUUGUGAGGACUGUGGACCUGACACUUCCAUGAGUAUGUAGCUGAGAUGUGCAUCUCAGCAAGAGAGAGGGGCAGCGAAAUGCUAUGAGGUUUCCACAUUUUAGUGCAGAGUCAGUCUUAGAGCUCUGCCAAGCAGGUCACUUUCCCAACUCUCCCUUCCACUAAAUGAGGAAUCACUUGCUUUCUUUGCAAGGAAAUUAAUGCAUAAAACUGCACACACCUUUCCUGGAGAGUGAAGGAAAAGUAUAGUAUUCACAGUGGGUCAGGAGCCGUGCUCCAAAAUUGUUCCAUACAUAAAAUCACCGACUCCCAUAGCCUAGAGUAAGAAUUUUUGCAAAUGCUGAAUAAAAACAUAGCAAUUUUCUGAGUAAGAAUUAAUAGAAGCACAAGAAAUGACAUUAAUUAUAUUAAUCUUAUUGUCUACCAAUAGCUGCUUUCAAUCAUUUUAUAUUCAAUAGCAUGCAUCAUCAUGAACUGGUGAUGGAUAGAGAAGAAAAAAGGUAGUGAUACUGAAAGUUAUACAGUUAUAAAUUAGAGCAUAUUUUUAAACUAUUGUGAAGUCAUAGCUUCUUGAGAUAACAUAAAAUUAUAGGAUGUGUGCACAUCCUAAAUUGAAUCCUGGAGAAUUUUGUACUGUUCAUGUGCUAGUGGAUUAUUGUUUGGGUAACACUGCCUGGGGAAAGUACAAAACUAUUUUCACAAGUUCCUGCUCCAAACACUAUUCUUAACCCCAAGGAACCAGUAUGGGGACAGCACAAGCCAUUGUGUAUUGGACAUAUUCAGAGCCAUGGUCACUUACUAUUUGGGGAGCAGCUAUGGAGGCACUGUAACCUCAGGUCCCCAGCCUCAGCCCU